UGGAUCCAGACUUUGAUCAUGGCUCAGGAUGAACGCUAGCUACAGGCUUAACACAUGCAAGUCGAGGGGCAGCAUGGGAUUAGCUUGCUAAUCCUGAUGGCGACCGGCGCACGGGUGCGUAACGCGUAUCCAACCUGCCCUCUACUCCGGAACAGCCCGUCGAAAGGCGGAUUAAUGCCGGAUGGUGUCACAUGCCCGCAUGAGUGUGUGACUAAAGGCAACGGUAGAGGAUGGGGAUGCGACUGAUUAGCUAGUUGGCGGGGUAACGGCCCACCAAGGCUACGAUCAGUAGGGGUUCUGAGAGGAAGGUCCCCCACAUUGGAACUGAGACACGGUCCAAACUCCUACGGGAGGCAGCAGUGAGGAAUAUUGGUCAAUGGGCGAGAGCCUGAACCAGCCAAGUAGCGUGCGGGACGACGGCCCUAUGGGUUGUAAACCGCUUUUGAUUGGGAACAAAGAGCGCCACGUGUGGUGCGUUGCGUGUACCUUUCGAAUAAGCAUCGGCUAAUUCCGUGCCAGCAGCUGCGGUAAUACGGAAGAUGCGAGCGUUAUCCGGAUUUAUUGGGUUUAAAGGGAGCGUAGGCGGGCUGUUAAGUCAGCGGUCAAAUGUCAGGGCCCAACCUUGGCAUGCCGUUGAUACUGGCGGCCUUGAGUUCACACAAGGAAGGUGGAAUUCGUCGCGUAGCGGUGAAAUGCUUAGAUAUGACGAAGAACUCCGAUUGCGAAGGCAGCCUUCUGGGGUGUUACUGACGCUGAGGCUCGAAAGUGCGGGAAUCAAACAGGAUUAGAUACCCUGGUAGUCCGCACCGUAAACGAUGAGCGCCCGUCAUUGGCGACACACAGUCAGUGACCAAGGGAAACCGUUAAGCGCUCCACCUGGGGAGUACGCCGGCAACGGUGCAACUCAAAUGAAUUGACGGA
rnacentral:rRNA from 1 species